UUUUUUCCUUUUUUUUUUUUUGGUGUCCAU
rnacentral:sRNA from 1 species